UACGGAGGGUGCGAGCGUUGUCCGGAGUUACUGGGCGUAAAGCGCUUGUAGGCGGUCCACCAAGUUUGGGGUGACAGUUGCCGACUUAAUCGGCAAAGUGCCUCAAAGACUGGCGGACUUGAGGGCCACAGAGGGACAUGGAACUCCAGGUGUAGUGGUGAAAUGCGUAGAUAUCUGGAAGAACACCAAAGGCGAAGGCAGUGUCCUGGGUGGUCGCUGACGCUGAGAGGCGAAAGCCAGGGGAGCGAACGGG
rnacentral:rRNA from 1 species